AUCUAGCUGACGAGUCCCAAAUAGGACGAAACAACCGUCCUGGAU
rnacentral:hammerhead_ribozyme from 1 species